rnacentral:rRNA from 1 species
CCUACGGGAGGCAGCAGUGGGGAAUAUUGCACAAUGGGCGCAAGCCUGAUGCAGCCAUGCCGCGUGUGUGAAGAAGGCCUUCGGGUUGUAAAGCACUUUCAGUUGUGAGGAAGGUUCAUGCGUUAAUAGCGCAUGGAUUUGACGUUAGCAACAGAAGAAGCACCGGCUAACUCCGUGCCAGCAGCCGCGGUAAU